rnacentral:rRNA from 1 species
AGCGGACCCCAGGUCAGGCGAGACUACCCGCUGAGUUCUAAGCAUAUCAAUAAG